rnacentral:rRNA from 1 species
AUGAACGCUGGCGGCGUGCCUAAUACAUGCAGGUCGAGCGAACAGACGAGGAGCUUGCUCCUCUGACGUUAGCGGCGGACGGGUGAGUAACACGUGGAUAACCUACCUAUAAGACUGGGAUAACUUCGGGAAACCGGAGCUAAUACCGGAUAAUAUAUUGAACCGCAUGGUUCAAUAGUGAAAGACGGUUUUGCUGUCACUUAUAGAUGGAUCCGCGCCGCAUUAGCUAGUUGGUAAGGUAACGGCUUACCAAGGCAACGAUGCGUAGCCGACCUGAGAGGGUGAUCGGCCACACUGGAACUGAGACACGGUCCAGACUCCUACGGGAGGCAGCAGUAGGGAAUCUUCCGCAAUGGGCGAAAGCUUGACGGAGCAACGCCGCGUGAGUGAUGAAGGUCUUCGGAUCGUAAAACUCUGUUAUUAGGGAAGAACAAAUGUGUAAGUAACUAUGCACGUCUUGACGGUACCUAAUCAGAAAGCCACGGCUAACUACGUG